CAGUCGCCGCGGUAAUACGGAGGGUGCAAGCGUUAAUCGGAAUUACUGGGCGUAAAGCGUACGCAGGCGGUCUGACAAGUCAGAUGUGAAAUCCCCGGGCUUAACCUGGGAACUGCAUUUGAAACUGUCAGGCUGGAGUCUUGUAGAGGGGGGUAGAAUUCCAGGUGUAGCGGUGAAAUGCGUAGAGAUCUGGAGGAAUACCGGUGGCGAAGGCGGCCCCCUGGACAAAGACUGACGCUCAGGUGCGAAAGCGUGGGGAGCAAACAGGAUUAGAUACCCGCGUAGUCCCUGUCUCUUAUAC
rnacentral:rRNA from 1 species